rnacentral:lncRNA from 1 species
AUGAUUCUCUUAUACCCACAUUUCAGGCUCACAAAACCCAAUGAGACACUUCCCCAUGAGGUCUGGAGAGGACAGGGGAGUUCCCUGAACACACAGAUGAUCCAUGACAGAGCCACCAUGCCAGCUCAGUUAUUUGGACCCCCGUUUCAAUGCUCAUCUCUUCUCAAUGUGCUCUGCUUUCAGAUCACUGGGAUGUUCAUCUUUGGUGGGAUACUCUUCGCAUACUUGGUUACCCUUGUGACUACUUCAAGAUGCCAGCGAACUUAUCAAACUCCUCGAAGGCAUCAUACUCAUCAAACUUAUCAACAUCAUCAAACUCCUAAAACUCCUCAAACUCCUCAGCCUGCAACGGUGAGUCCUGAGGCUAAUCUGCGGGUGGGAAGAUGUUCCAAAGAGGAUGGAGUUGAGGGGGGCUUCAUCUUUCUGCCCAGGGGCAGAAAGAAUCCUGUGGGGUGUCUAUGGACCUGCACACAUGCCCUCCUUCUCCUACCCAAUAAGCACACCUCUAUCUGCCUGUGUCUUCCAGGUGAACGUGUUGUAUGCACCAGCUCUCAAUAUGCUGGAUUAAAAGUCCUCCUCUUUCCGAGCUUCCACACCCCAGGCUCCUCCCUUCUGGAUAAACCAAGGAAAAUGUCUCUCCAAAUGCUUGCAAUCUGGACUUCAUGCUUCCUUUCAGCCUGGUAAAUCCCUCUAUUAAUAUACUGGCGCAUUUGUAUGUGCGUGCAGCAUUCACACCCAUGUAUUAUAAUGCUCACACCAGAGGGCUUCCCUGCAUGACAGCCUAUAGGGCUUCACUCGCUCAAUUGUUAAUUCAUCUAAUAAAUAUGUGCUAAACACUUGGCA